UUGCAAUAUUAUCAAAGACGAUAAAAAUCACACACCCCUUCCCUUUGCUGUUCUAAAUUCAAAUGACCAUUUUUUUGAGUCCCACAACUUUUCAGUGCUCAAAAGCUCUAACAAUGGACGGUAAAGAAAAAAAAAAUAGGGUGAUCAUUUCUGAAUGAAACCCAUCCCCCUUCUUAGUAUCUUCUCUCUGUCCCUCACAGUCACACAUACAGCACAAUAACAUUAUUUCGGGAAUGUCUUUAAACACUUUCCAAGGAAAUAUCAUACAUUUGUUGUCUUCUUUUUGAAGAACAUCAAAAGUUGUGCUUGAACCAUUUUGUGCAAAACAAAAAAAGACAACUUUGUGUGUCUGUUCAGUCCUGAAGCACAUGAGUUUCAAACAGCACCACUGAGCAUCAACAUUCAUAAAUUUCAUUAUAUCAGCAGCAGUAUGUGGCAGUAAUUAUCAUUAUAUCUCCUCUCCUGCUCUGAGACCAGAGUCAAUAACAAACUACAGACACUUCAACUACAAUUCACAGUGUGUCAUUGUUCUCUACAGGUUGGUUGAUUGUGGUCUCACAGAUGAAGGUUGUGCUGCUCUGGCUUCAGCUCUGAGAUCAAACCCCUCACACCUGAAAGAACUGGAUCUGUCUUGGAAUGGACUAAGUCAAUCAGAUGUGAAAUUACUCUCUGAUCUGAAGGAUGAUCCACAUUACAAACUGGAGAGAUUAUACCACUAACUCAGUAUUUAUAAGUCAGUCCAGUUUCUUCAGGAUCAGCUGCUACAGAGACACUCAGUCACACAAUCAACAGAGACUGAAGACACA